GGCCUGAUGGUCUAGUAGUAUGAUUCUCCCUUCGGGCGUUUGCUUGCAUCUUUGUGUGUUUAAUUGGGAGAGGUCCCGGGUUCAAUUCCCGGUCAGGCCC